rnacentral:rRNA from 1 species
GGUGAACGCCGGCGGUAUGCCUAAAACAUGCAAGUCGCGCGGAUGCAGUAAUGUAUUAGCGGCGGACGGGUGAGUAACACGUAGGUGACCUGCCCUAAAGUCUGGGACAACUAGGAAAAAUCUUAUCUAAUUCUGGAUGUGAACACUGAUUGUGGUUGGUGUUUAAAGCUACGGCGCUUUGGGAUGGGCCUGCGGUGCAUCAGGUAGUUGGUGGGGUAAAGGCUCACCAAGCCGACGACGCAUAACUGGUCUGAGAGGACGAUCAGUCACAGGAGCACUGAGACACGGGCUCCUCUUCUACGGAAGGCAGCAGUUAGGAAUCUUCCCCAAUGGGCGAAAGCCUGAGGGAGCGAUACCGCUUGAAGGACGACCCCCCUCGGGGUGUAAACUUCUGAACUCAGGACGAUGAUGACGGUACCC